AUGCCGAGCUCCGGUUGGACAACGCUCAUGUUCAUCAACGCCUCCGGGACCCUUCGGGCUCGUGGGGCGUCGCGCGCGGGAAGGAGAGGGGGUGGUCGCAGCCGGCACCGUCCCCGCCCUUGGCGGGCGUUGAUUGGCUGCUCGGCGCCUCGGGGCGGGGCUUCGCUCCUCCCUCGCAGGGAUUGGGUAGCGCCGCUGUCAAUAGGGGGCGGGCUGCGGGGAGCGCUUGGCGCGCCCGUUCGAGCGGCGGCGGCCGCGGGGCCGGGUCCCGGCGGUGCUCGGGGCUCCCCCUGGGUUACGGGCAGCCGAGGGGCUGACCUCGCGAGGGGCCCGUUCGGGCUCCCUCCCUGCCCCGGGGCUUUCCUGGUGCUGGCUGCCCUGCUCCCAGCACGCGUCCCGGCCCCGCGGCUCUCGCCGUGUUCAGUUUGUGCUUUGCAGCGUGCUGAGCCCGCUACCGCAGCGCAGCAUCGCGGAGCCGCCCGGCAGAGCCGCGCUCUCUAUCUUCAGUUGUUGAGCUGGUGUGUGAUGUAUUAAAUACGUUAUCUAUAAAGAUGGAUGGUUCAGCUGAAAGAGCAUGGUACUGAUAUGGAGAGAUACUAGGAAAAGGCAAUGUUAAUACAGUGCGUUAUCUGCAAAGGCAAUGUACAAAGGGAAGAAGCAGAAGAGAUUGCAUAUGUGUAUGAUGAGAGUCAAGAUGCUCAUCAUAAUGGCUUCCCAGUUGUCCUCCAGGUGCUUGAGUUUUGUCCAAGAUUUGCUUCCCUGGCAGUUUGAAAAGUGACAAUGAAACUGAUCCAGAGGUGUGGAUUAUAACCCCAUUGUGCAGGACAUGCUGAAGCUGGUUCUGAGGUAGUGGUGACAGUACGAUGCGGUGCGGAACUACAAGCUCAAGCCCUUGGAGCACUGCAGCUCUGUCAGCUCGACUGCAACCCAGGCUGUCAGCCGAUGAAUGCAUUGGGAGCCUUGUCUGCUCGACUGCUGCAAGGAAUUAGUUUUGUGGGCUGGUGAGGAGCUUGGUUUUCUGGUUUUAGUUGAGCACAUUUUGGUAUUUUAAAACAUUAUCUCAGACAGAGAACUGAAGUCAAACACAAAAGGCACCAGCGAUUUUUUCCCUGUCUCAAUUAUCAGUUUAUCCUUUUUACCUAUAGAAGGGAUGGAUUUAUUGUAGGGUAACCAGGUAAAUAUAGAAGGUUGUCUGCUGGACUGGGGUUAAGCUGACAGCUGUAAUUGCCUACUUUGGAAAAAUGCUGCUUUUCUUCAGAAAGUGCCUCCCAGACCUUAUUUAGAGAUUUGCUUAAUUUGGGCUGUCCUAUGGGUUAACAUCUGUGGAAUCUGUAUUUCUCUGGCAGUUGUGUCUCCCUUGGAUGUAAAUUACAGAUGCUAACCAAUGCCCUUUCCUUUUUUUCUUUAAGAGGAAAAAAAAAAAAAAACACAUUUAAAAUAAGCAAAUAAAGAGCUCCCACUGAAGAGUUAUGCUAAAAGA
rnacentral:lncRNA from 1 species